rnacentral:snoRNA from 1 species
AGACCAGCUAAUUAAUCUGUUUAUUGGAAUGUGUUUCCACACAAAUUUAGGAACAGCUGGAAAUAUUGAUGCCAUUUUAAGAGACAUAAGGACAUCCGAGGUUAUUUUGUCCCUCAAAAAAUACAAUAUAA